AAUUUCAAAAAGAUAUUUUAAAAAACAAAAGAAUAUGCUAUACGAUAGCCUGAAGCUAAAAAUCACGCUCUCUCUCAACUCUCAAUCUCUUCCCUCAAAAAAAAAAAAAAAAAAAAAAAAAAAAAAAAAAAUUCUCGUCUCUCAUGUAUCACAAGCUCUCUCUCUCUCUGAUAUCAUUUUCCCCCAAAUACAAAUCUAAGCUCGACAAUCGUGGAAAUCACAUAGCAUUCAAUCUCAAGUUCGUGAUUUCUUCGUCUGUGUCUCUUUGUCUCUCUCAAUCUAAGCUCGGUGUUCUCUUCGUGACUUUGUCUCUGUCGGUCACGAUGUGUUUUCUUCGUCUCUCAAUCGCAUUGAUAAGAAUUGAAAACUCAAAAAAUCGAAGGUCUCCUCUCAUCUCGACUCCAACACCGCUGAUUCCCCUAGUUUGAAAAACAAAAGAAGGGUAAAAGAGCAAAAAUCGUGUUCAAAUUCAACCGCUAGUCCACGUUUUGAAUAGAGAAUUAUUUCAAGAUUUGGCUCCAUUGUUGUGGAAUUCUUUUGGUACUAUUGUUGCACUGUUACAGCUUGCCAAUUUGGAAGUUUGGUUUCAGCGGCCAAAAGACAUUGUUCCGAAAUUGGUAUCUGGAGUCCUUGUUUUCUUAUCAAGGAUUGGUAUGAGGAAGUGCAUUACCAUUAAAAGUUCAUCAUUUUUGUUCCUGCUGUCAGGGGAAUGAAAAUCUUAUUCUUGUUCGUGAUGCUCUUGAGUAUGGGGACUGCUGAAAAGACUCUGCGAGUCGCUACUGGAUUUACCUACGAAUGAUCUGUGUUUCAUUUUAUUAUAUUAUGAAAAUUUCAGUUUAUUUUUCUCAUUUUUGUAACAUUCAGUUUUGGCCCUAUCCUUCUGCACAGCUAGAUCCUAAAUUUAUGAAAGAAAAUGGACUAAAGUAUGUGACUUUUUCAACUGCUGAUGGAGCACUGGAGGCAGCUCCUGCGAAUAAUGGUUGAUGAGAUCAUCGGUUGGCAGGUUUCCAAAUGCACUUGGGGUUUUAUGUAUCCAAUUUAUGGUCACGGGGAACUACCACAGGCUUUUUGCCGUCGUGCUGCUGUCAAAGGUUGCAUUCAUUUCUUAAUGCAAGGGAAAUUUGGUGGCUAUGCAUGAGUCUUUGAGAAGUACCAGGAAAAGGCAGAGUCCAUUAUAUGAGACCCUUUAGACAUUAGUACAUCAGAUAAAAUACUAAGUUCCUUUAUGUUAAUAUGAAGAUGUCUACAUAAACUUCAAGAAUGUAGAAUUUAGUAACUUGGAGGGUCAUGUAGGCCGUUGAAAUUUUGGUUUCAAGGGUUACGAAGUCCGUAGAAAUUUCAACUU